ACGCUCGACACCUACGGGAGACAGCAGUGGGGAAUAUUGCACAAUGGGGGAAACCCUGAUGCAGCGACGCCGCGUGAGCGAAGAAGUAUCUCGGUAUGUAAAGCUCUAUCAGCAGGGAAGAAAAUGACGGUACCUGACUAAGAAGCACCGGCUAAAUACGUGCCAGCAGCCGUGGUAAUCUGAGCGGGCUGGCAAGGC
rnacentral:rRNA from 1 species